GUGCGUCGGUAGGGGAGGGCUCACCUCUCCAGGUUGAAACGAUGGCGGUCAGAACCGCCUGAGGUAAAAACGGGUGGCACUGGGGAAGCGGAGGCGUAGCUCCCGAGAGCCUCACACUUGUGCUCAGUGCCGCCUCACCCCUGGUGGAUCCGCGAUGGCCGCGGAUUCCCCUGGAUUGCCGGCGCUGGGCAGGAGCGCCACUUCUAAUCUCUCCCGAGACUGGACGCCCGGCGCCUUCCACGCGCGUUGUGUCUUUCCGGGCGGUCCCUCGAAGCUGGCUACCCCGCGGGCUGUUGACUGCAGUGGGAUCUGGUCACUCAGAUGCGGAUAGAGGGGUACGGGAGCCGGAGAGGUGGAACAGGUCCUUCCGGGUGCGGAGAGCUGGGCCGUCCAGCCGCCUCUUUGUUCCCGCGUGGGUCCCGCGCGGAAUCCCCACCACCGGGGCCGACUGUCGUGGUCCCUGGAGUCAGCACCCUGCCCUCCCCGCCGUGGUGGCGGGUGGCUGGGGGGUCCCCGGCCCGGCGAGCCCGGCGGAGCGACCCUGCGCUUCUGCCCUGGCGAGCUUCCGGACUCAGGCCAUUUAAAUUUUUUUCCCCAGCAGAAUGAAGUUACUCUUUGCCAAAGUCACGGUUUUUAAAUGUGUGAGCCUGAAAACAUA
ensembl:lncRNA UBAC2-AS1 UBAC2 antisense RNA 1